rnacentral:lncRNA from 1 species
GGCUCACAUGCUUUCGAGCAGCUCUGUACGGUAGAUGUUUAUGAAUCUAAGUUUCAGAGGCAGUUGCGGACAGAGGGCAGCACGGUGGUUAGAGCCGUCAUCCUCCACUUAGAGGACCCGGGUUUGAAUCGCCAUUCCUCAAGUCUCAAGCGUAAAACAACAGGAUUACAAAGACAGGAGCAGACAGGACCGGGAAGAAAAGAGGUUAAGAAGACUAUGCGUAAUCGGAGGGCACCGGCGUCUGAAAGAAACUCGAGGAUCAAGGGAAACUGGCUGAACUUUGGUGAAGCUGCCCAGAUUUCUGCUUGUCAAGGUGAAGAGCAGAGAAGCACCCUACCUACUUUUAUGGGAUCUUCAGGUCAUGCUAAAAAGUUGCGUAACAUUUCGUAGCAAACGUUGUAUGUCUGCGGAGUCCCCUGUGAAAUCCACAAGCGCAUCCAUUUCUACGCAGUAACGGAAAAGGACAUAAAAGGGAAAAGGAACUGAGGCUCAGUAUCUUAGUGACUCUACAGAAUAGCAACGGAACUCAGAGCUGAGGAACGGGGAACUGAUGACAUCAGCAGUGCCACGGAAUGACGCUCCUACCGCCAGUUAUAUAACCGCGGAGGAACAUUGCAUCUGUCACAGUUAAAGGUUGCAGAGGUCGAUAUAAAUACCAGGCAUACUCUCAGCAGUCAUGUGCAGCACAGCUCUAGUAGGCACAUGAAUCCAUUGCCAAGCAACUGGAACGCCCCCCCCCCCAUCUGGGCCUUCAUGACUUUGAGCUCCCUUGUUUGACAUCCAUUGAGCUGCUGUAGGAUGAGGCUGCCUCGCAGUCAUCCCUCUUAUAUCGGUUAUGAUCAGUCACUUGGCUCACGCUUCUGUCCAAAGCAAGUCACAGCCUAUUCACCCAUUUACACAGCAGGGUAAUUUUUACUGUAUCGGUUCAGGGUGAGCACCCUGAUCAGGAGUUCUGCAGCAGGAGUGGUAUUCGAACAGGGAACCUUCAGCUGGAAAUAUAGAAGGUGACCUUGAUAAGACCUUUAGCUCAAAUAAUUUCACAUUUAACAUUUAUGAUAAUCCAUUAUGAUUAUGACUAUAUCAAGAAUUCCGUUUUGCAAAUUCCCCCCCCUUUUUUUUUUUUUAGUAAUUUCUGUAUUUCCAAAAGAGAAACAUAUCUAAUGGUACAAACAACAUACUAGUACCCCUGUAGCCCUCAUUCAUUUAGUUGAGGACAAGUCCAAUUCAGGACAGUCCAUUGUCAUUCAGUUCAAAGGAAGGCGCAGCUUUUAUUAGUUCUUCUUUCAACAGGAGGGGAAAUAGUCCCAUUACAAAGCCUAUAAGAGUGUAAAC